rnacentral:rRNA from 1 species
CAGCCGCCGCGGUAAUACGAAGGGGGCUAGCGUUGCUCGGAAUGACUGGGCGUAAAGGGCGCGUAGGCGGAUUGUUUAGUUAGGCGUGAAAUUCCUGGGCUUAACCUGGGGACUGCGCUUAAUACAGGCAGUCUAGAGUGAGGAAGAGGGUUGUGGAAUUCCCAGUGUAGAGGUGAAAUUCGUAGAUAUUGGGAAGAACACCGGUGGCGAAGGCGGCAACCUGGUCCUUGACUGACGCUGAGGCGCGAAAGCGUGGGGAGCAAACAGGAUUAGAUACCCCGGUAGUCCCUGUCUCUUAUAC